rnacentral:rRNA from 1 species
AAUAUUGCACAAUGGGCGCAAGCCUGAUGCAGCCAUGCCGCGUGUAUUGAAGAAGGCCUUCGGGUUGUAAAGUACUUUCAGCAGUGAGGAAGGUGGGUAUGUUAAUAGCAUACUCAUUUGACGUUAGCUGCAGAAGAAGCACCGGCUAACUCCGUGCCAGCAGCCGCGGUAAUACGGAGGGUGCGAGCGUUAAUCGGAAUUACUGGGCGUAAAGCGCAUGCAGGUGGUUUGUUAAGUCAGAUGUGAAAGCCCGGGGCUCAACCUCGGAAUUGCAUUUGAAACUGGCAAACUAGAGUACUGUAGAGGGGGUAGAAUUUCAGGUGUAGCGGUGAAAUGCGUAGAGAUCUGAAGGAAUACCGGUGGCGAAGGCGGCCCCCUGGACAGAUACUGACACUCAGAUGCGAAAGCGUGGGGAGCAAACAGGAUUAGAUACCCUGGUAG